CGCGGCUUCCCGGGCGCGCGGAGGGCGGGAAGGUGGCGCGGCGCCGGCUCCGCGCCCCGGCCACGGCCGCAUGUCUGGUACGGAACAGAAUGCUGACUAACACAAUCAAGAAAAGGAGCAAAGAAAAUGAAAGAAAAGGAGCCAGAGAUUAGGAAGGCCACAGCUCCUUGUCAGUAGAUGGUCUGCCGUGGUCCACCCAAUACACCUACAGGACAAAGACGAGAACUUGGCUGGGAGCACGCGUUACCCUGCGUCACCUGCGCCAUCUGAGCAAUCUGAUACAUCACUUACGAGGAGCGGUGUUCGAAGGGACCAAACACAUCAUCCAAAAGGAAGACUACUUUAAAAGAGGCCAGUGAUUCUCUGAAGCUUUCAGGUCCUGCACAGGUUGUCCUUGGAGCUCCUGUGCUUCCUGUGUGGAAGACUACUCCUCUGCCUAUACUCACAUCCCACUUCUGGAAAGUGACAGUGAAGUCCAAAUGCCCAACCACGGUGCACAGACUGAACUUGGUGGGAAGUCUUUCCAAUACCUGGAAUCCCACUGCCUCAGUUUCCCCCUUACUUCUGCUACCAUUCUCAGCCUUCCAACACCCCAGUCUCUGCUCCAACUCAAGCCUCUUAUUGGCUGCCUCUUGGGGUAAGGGGUCUCAGUUUAAAUGUCCCUCUUUCAGGAGGACUUCUGUAAUCUCGCUACCUAAAUUAAAUCUCCGCUUGAUACUUCCUAUCUGGAACCACCGCCCUUUCUGUUCAGUUUCUGCAUGGUAACAAUCUCAGUUUAUGACUAUGCUGUUUGCCUCAUGUUUACCCAUAUAUUAACCCUCCCAUCAACGAUUAGACUAUCAGCUUUAUUAGCACCACAUCCCGUUCACCUUUACUGUUGGAUUCCUCGUACUAGGCACAGUUUAUAGAACAUAAAACUGGUCCUCUGCAACGAUUUUCGAAUAAAACAAAAUGAAUCAUUUAAUUGCCUAAUGACCACCACCUUCCUUCAUCACAGUUCUUCCCAGAAUACCCCGCUGAAUUACUGCAGAACCUCGGCCGAGUCACCCCUGGAGCACAUGCCAAAGGGCCUCUGUCUCCUCCUAAAGAAUGUGCGCGGUGCACAUGCUGCCUGCCUGGGUAGUGGGGGACAGUCCCUCAGAAUGCUUGGAUAUGUUCCUGGAAAGGAAUACAGCGCUCAGUUUUACAGCAGACUCAGAGAGGUUAAUCAAUUCCACGGUCAGUAUUUGCAUUUGGACUUGUCAGACAUUCAAGUUCAGACUGCGCCUGCUCCAAACAAGACCUGGCUGAAGAAAUGAAAUUGAUUUUCUUAUCUGCCAGCUUCAAUCCCAGAUGACAUUGUAUUCCGCACCUCUGGAAGUAAAA